rnacentral:misc_RNA from 1 species
UCUCCGUUGGUGAACCAGCGGAGGGAUCAUUACAGAGUUCCAAAACUCCCAACCCUUGUGAACCGAACCCCAGUUUGUUCUCGUUGACUCCUGCCGGCCGGCCCGCGGCGCCACCGCCGGGGCCCCUGCCAGCGGCGGCGAGCCCCCAGAACAAUUUAUUCUCACCCAGACAGUGUGAGCACACAAACAAAUGAACAAAAACUCAAAACAAUGGAUAACUUGGUUCUGGCAUCGAUGAAGAAUGAAGCAGACAGGAAGUGGAAAGGUCAGAAGUCUAGA